UGGUACUGUAUUAAACACGGAGAGUGCAAAAGUACAUUCUCCAGAUGGAGGAAGUGACAUUGAUGUGCCUUUUACUGAGGAAAGGCUUGGAGAUGAGCUACUCCACCUUAAGAUUGCAGAUUUGAAAAAGCUGUGUAGAAAGUGUGGGGUUGAUGCUGUUGGUUCCAAAAUGGAUCUCGUCCUCAGACUUUGUGAUAAAAUGUCAAACAGAGUCACAUACAACAAGGUGUUUGAAAAGGUGUGGGGUGCUUCAGGUGGUGUUGGAGUAAUCAUGUGUCCGUGUGGUAUUGUAUAUUCUGUCAAGUUCAACCUGAGAGCGAAGAGUCCCCGUGACUUUGCUGAUCUUCUUUUGUCUUGGAAACAUUUUCCAAAUAUAACGA